rnacentral:rRNA from 1 species
CCUACGGGAGGCUGCAGUGGGGAAUAUUGGGCAAUGGGCGCAAGCCUGACCCAGCAACGCCGCGUGAAGGAAGAAGGCUUUCGGGUUGUAAACUUCUUUUCUUGGGGACGAACAAAUGACGGUACCCCCGGAAUCAGCCACGGCUAACUACGUGCCAGCAGCCGCGGUCAUACGUAGGUGGCAAGCGUUAUCCGGAUUUAUUGGGUGUAAAGGGCGUGUAGGCGGGAAUGCAAGUCAGAUGUGAAAACUCAGGGCUCAACCCUGAGCCUGCAUUUGAAACUGUGUUUCUUGAGUGCUGGAGAGGCAAGCGGAAUUCCGGGUGUAGCGGUGAAAUGCGUAGAUAUACGGAGGAACACCAGUGGCGAAGGCGGAUUGCUGGACAGUAACUGACGCUGAGGCGCGAAAGCGUGGGGAGCAAACAGGAUUAGAUACCCCUGUAGUC